rnacentral:rRNA from 1 species
GUAGGGAAUUUUCGGCAAUGGGCGCAAGCCUGACCGAGCAACGCCGCGUGAGUGAUGAAGGUCUUCGGAUCGUAAAGCUCUGUUGUAAGGGAAGAACGUCUCUGUAAGAAACAGGGAGUGACGGUACCUUACCAGAAAGCCACGGCUAACUACGUGCCAGCAGCCGCGGUAAUCCGUAGGUGGCAAGCGUUAUCCGGAAUUAUUGGGCGUAAAGGGUGCGUAGGCGGCUUGUUAAGUUUAUGGUGAAAGCGUGGGGCUUAACCCCAAUAAGCCAUAGAUACUGGCAGGCUAGGGUGUAGAAGAGGGCAGUGGAAUUCCAUGUGUAGCGGUAAAAUGCGUAGAUAUAUGGAGGAACACCAGUGGCGAAGGCGGCUGCCUAGUCUACAACUGACGCUGAGGCACGAAAGCGUGGGGAGCAAAUAGGAUUAGAUACCCUAGUAGUCC